ACCUGGCUAGCUCAGUUGGUUAGAGCAUGGUGCUCAUAAUGCCAAGGUCACAGGUACAUAUUCCUACAUUGUGGGUG